rnacentral:rRNA from 1 species
UACGUAGGGUGCGAGCGUUAAUCGGAAUUACUGGGCGUAAAGCGUGCGCAGGCGGUUCGCCAAGUCAGGUGUGAAAUCCCCGGGCUCAACCUGGGAAUGGCCGUUGAAACUGGCGAACUGGAGUGUGGCAGAGGGGGGUGGAAUUCCGCGUGUAGCAGUGAAAUGCGUAGAGAUGCGGAGGAACACCGAUGGCGAAGGCAGCCCCCUGGGCUGACACUGACGCUCAGGCACGAAAGCGUGGGGAGCAAACAGG